rnacentral:rRNA from 1 species
GACGAACGCUGGCGGCGUGCCUAAUACAUGCAAGUAGAACGCAGUUGCGAACGGGUGAGUAACUCGUAGGUAACUGCCGGGUAGCGGGGGAGAACUAUUGGAAACGAUAGCGAAUACCGCAUACUACCAGAUGGACCUGCGUUGUAUUACCUGGUUGGGUGGGUAACGUCUCACCAUGGCAACGAUACAUAGCCGACCUGAGAGGGGUAUUGGCCACACUGGGACUGAGACACGGCCCGGACUACUAAGGGAGGCAGCAGUAGGUAUUCUUCGGCAAUGGACGGAAUGCUGACCGAGCAACGCCGCGGGAGUGAAGAAGGUUUGCGGAUCGUAAAGUUCUGUUGUAAGAGAAGCGGUAUCUUACCAGAAAGGGCCGGCUAACUACGUGCCAGCCGCCGCGGUAAUU